rnacentral:lncRNA from 1 species
AUGGUAUGUACGUAUCCUUUUAUGAGCAACACGUGUAUGUGGUAUGUGCAAAAAGAUGUAUUUUUCCAUGACUCUGUGCAGACUCUACCCUGGAAUGGCAUUCUGUGUUAUUUGGCAAGAUCAUGCUUGCGUGUGAAUGAACCCACACAGAGGAACACCUACAGCGUAAGCGCCACCUUAGGAUGGCCCCCGGCACCUGAGAAUGGGCAGUCCUGAAGAUCUCGGAGCACCUGUGGGCGUGUGAGAGACACACAUAUGGGCACCAUGGUUGGGACCACUGGGUGUUCAUCUGGGAACAGCUCUAAAUGGAAAGACAGAGUCUCGGGAGGAGUUGGACUCCUUGCCAUCAGCCAAACCCGGGAAGAAGCGUGUUGUUGUCCUCCUGUUCACCGCGCAGAUUAAACUGGCAAUCCUGAAUCAUUUACAACGUGGUAACUGUGAUGGUCUGUGGUUCCAGUGAACCCUAAUACUAUCUAUAAAUCAUCUGGCAGAAAUGGGGGCAAGUACUUGGCUUCUGUCCUCCAGCAGUUAGAAGGGAGGGCAGAGAACCUCUUGAUUAAGAGGCAGUGGGCAGUAGGGAUUAUCACUCAACCUGUUUCCAAGGAAAUUUUCGCUGGUGAACACUGGGAUCCAGGGCACAAGUCAUCCGAUGUUGUCAAAGGAGUUAGCAGUUCAAGCAAAUAAGAGAUGCACGUAUCCUUGACCUACACUGGCUACUUUCCCUCGGACGCUACCGUUAACCGAUAAAUGGCAUGGAGUUGCUUUUUCGCUUAAUCUGGAAGUGUCUCAUUUUUCUUGCAAACAUCCCCGUUCAUCAUGGCUCCUGAUGAGAGCCAUCGCUCCUUCCUAAAGAGAAAUGGAUUAUUUUUCUUUCUUCAUCCUGUAAUGUUCCUUCUGCUGCAGAUUCCCCCCUAGCGGAAAAAGUAGACCAUGAUUCCUAUAUUCCCAGUAGGACAACCAUUUACAUCUUUGAACCUAUUUUGUUUCUUCCACAUUUUAGGCAGUGAUGGCUUGUUUAUAAGUCAUGUUCACACGAAGCUCUGUGGUACAGGGUGUGGUCUCGGGGGAAUCC